CCCUUAGAUGUUCUGGGCUGCACGCGUGCUACAAUGGCGUUUCCAGCAAGUCUGCGAACCCGAGAGAGCCAGCGGAUCUUCGAAUUGGCGUCGUGAUCGGGACAGUCGAUUGCAAUUAUUUGACUCAAACGAGGAAUUCCUUGUAAUCGCGAUUCAUCAUAUCGCGCUGAAUACGUCCCUGCCCUUUGUACACACCGCCCGUCGCUCCUACCGAUUGAGCGAUCCGGUAAAUGUUUUGGAUUGGUGCCGGGGCGGCUAGCUGCCGGUCGCUACGAAAUUUUGUGAACCUUAUCGCUUAGAGGAAGGAAAAGUCGUAACA
rnacentral:rRNA from 1 species